GAAAUCAGGGAAAGGACUGGGAGGCCCUCCCUGAGUGUGGCCUGGCAGGGGGCCCUGUCACGGAUUCUGCAUGGGUAACGCUGGCCGUGGAGAAGUUUUGGAAGGGGAAACCAAAAAGCUUUGGAUCUUUUCCUGAAUUUUUUUGAUGUGCUUCUAAAGCAAGAAAAACCAUCUGUAAAAAGACCAGGAUAGGUGGACAGCAGAACAGUGUGGUCCUGCAGAAGCUGAAGCCUGACACUCCUUACACCAUCACCCUGUCCUCCCUGUAUCCUGAUGCAGAAGGAGGUUGGAUGACAGGAAGAGAACCUUUGAAUACAGUGAGGAACCUCAGUGUAUGACCCUUCCACCAGCACUUUGCACGUUCGCUGGGAGCACACAGAGCAAAAUCCUGGUGCCAAUCCCUGGGAACACCAAUGAUGUCGUUCUAAGGAAUCAGCAGCCGGAUGCCCCAGACACCAUUACAGUGGUUCCCCUCUAUCCUGAGGGUGAUGGAGUGCAUACACCAGAUACUGGAAGGACAUGGAAGUAAGAAGACAGACAAAUUUAGCGUUUU